AUUGAACGCUGGCGGCAGGCCUAACACAUGCAAGUCGAGCGGAUGAAGGGAGCUUGCUCCUGGAUUCAGCGGCGGGCGGGGGAGUAAUGCCUAGGAAUCUGCCUGGUAGUGGGGGAUAACGUCCGGAAACGGGCGCUAAUACCGCAUACGUCCUGAGGGAGAAAGUGGGGGAUCUUCGGACCUCACGCUAUCAGAUGAGCCUAGGUCGGAUUAGCUAGUUGGUGGGGUAAAGGCCUACCAAGGCGACGAUCCGUAACUGGUCUGAGAGGAUGAUCAGUCACACUGGAACUGAGACACGGUCCAGACUCCUACGGGAGGCAGCAGUCGGGAAUAUUGGACAAUGGGCGAAAGCCUGAUCCAGCCAUGCCGCGUGUGUGAAGAAGGUCUUCUGAUUGUAAAGCACUUUAAGUUGGGAGGAAGGGCAGUAAGUUAAUACCUUGCUGUUUUGACGUUACCAACAGAAUAAGCACCGGCUAACUUCGUG
rnacentral:rRNA from 1 species